CUUCCACCGAAACCUCCCUUCACGAAAUUAACCUAGCCUCUCCACCAAAACUCCAAAACUCAUCUCCGCCGAAACCAACCUUCACCCCUCCAUCCAUCGACCAACUCCCACGUCUCCACCGUCAGCCGGCCGGCCACCAUCCCUCAUUCUGUCUUCUCCAAUCAAGCAGAGACCCAACAUCAUCUUCUCGACGCCAACAUAAGUUGUUGUCUUCUUCUCUAUCUUCCUCCUUUCCUACAUCCGGCCAACCACCUCCUCUCUAUCACCGCCGGUGGAGCUACUUACUCUCAUCUCUCCUGUUCAGGUUAGAAGAGGAGAGGCCAUAACUUCCUUUCAGCAGCCACCGCUCUUCCAUCCAUCAUCCGAAAACUUCUACUUAGGUUAGAGGAGGAACUGAAGCCUUCCCCUUUCUCUCUUCGGGUUAGAAGAGAGGAAGCUCCACUCCUACUUCCGGUAAUCCCCUCUUUCACCGACUCUUCUCUUCCUCAUCAAGCUCUGGAUUCAUUUUCACCACAUCACCACCUCUCCUCUUCUGGGUUAGGAAGAGGAAAGCUUUAUACCUACCACCGACAGCCCCCAUUCCCUCUCCACUUCCGGUUAGAAGUGGAGAGUUCAUUUCCUCCACUCCGGCAGCCCUUCAUCGUCUCCAAACAGCUUGCUCCACUCUGGCAGCCCUCCAUAUUCCAUCUUCUGGUUAGAAGAGGGGAAGAGGUCACUUCUAGAAAACCACUACAUCUGAAGGGACCACUAGGAAAAACACCAAAUUACCCAUUUCAACUGAUGCUCAAUUGAGAACAAUGCGAAAGGGAUCUGACGACCAUCUUGUUCUAAACAUCGAGUCUGGGUCUGAUCAUUCAAUUGCAGCAAAGUCUGAUGCUAAAGGGUUUCCAGGGGCCAUCUUCUGAUGCACCGGCCUAGUGCAAGGCUAGGUCUCAUGGCGUAUAUGAUCUUCAUGCAUCUAUGGUUGCUAGGAGUCAUAUUAUGAUAUGACCAAUAAAUUUAGGUUACAAAUUAUAUGAUUAGAAUGUAAUAUAUCUUUUCAUUAUUUUUUAUACAUCUAGUUUAUAAACUGGAACUUGAAUUCAACAAUUCAUAAACAGAUCCAAAGAUGUAAAGUGAUAAAAAUUCCUUAAACACUAUUUCUUCAUGCAGUAAUGGUUUGAAUGGUGGAUGACAUGUGGUAGAAUAGUAUCCAUAAGGAGUAUGUAAUUUCAUUAUAUUAUAAUGGUUUAUUUUGUAUGGAUUUGAUUUGCAUCAAAUUUGUUGUAAAAUUUUAAUUUAUUAUUUUCAUCAAAUUAUUUUUUUUUUAAUAUAGUUAAGACCAUCAACAACAUACGUUUGUGCGCUGCGGAUAGUAUUUUUCUGUUAGCAUAGUCAUGAUCAGAGCCUAAUUUUAUUUUACAAUUAUCUGAGUGUUAUUGAUUAACUGUUCUGUCCUUUCUUAUGGUUUUUUUUUUUUUUUA